rnacentral:rRNA from 1 species
GACCCGUCUUGAACCACGGAGUCUAGUAUAUGUGCGAGUCAUUGGGCUUUUAAGCCUAAAGGCAUAAUUAACGUAACUAAUAUAUGGGAUUACAUGUGAUUGUAUAUAAUUUUCAUCCAUGGGCGUUUUAAUCAACUCAUAUUGCUUAUGUUUUAUGAGUUAAAGUUAAAGCGUACUGUAAGCAUAUAUACUGUGACCCGAAAGAUGGUGAACUAUACCUGAUCAGGUCGAAGUCAGGGGAAACCCUGAUGGAGGAUCGUAGCAGUUCUGACGUGCAAAUCGAUUGUCAGAAUUGGGUAUAGGGGCGAAAGACCAAUCGAACCAUCUAGUAGCUGGUUCCUUCCGA